rnacentral:rRNA from 1 species
GGUGAACGCUGGCGGCGUGCCUAGUACAUGCAAGUCGAGCGAACAGACGAGGAGCUUGCUCCUCUGACGUUAGCGGCGGACGGGUGAGUAACACGUGGAUAACCUACCUAUAAGACUGGGAUAACUUCGGGAAACCGGAGCUAAUACCGGAUAAUAUAUUGAACCGCAUGGUUCAAUAGUGAAAGACGGUUUUGCUGUCACUUAUAGAUGGAUCCGCGCCGCAUUAGCUAGUUGGUAAGGUAACGGCUUACCAAGGCGACGAUGCGUAGCCGACCUGAGAGGGUGAUCGGCCACACUGGAACUGAGACACGGUCCAGACUCCUACGGGAGGCAGCAGUAGGGAAUCUUCCGCAAUGGGCGAAAGCCUGACGGAGCAACGCCGCGUGAGUGAUGAAGGUCUUCGGAUCGUAAAACUCUGUUAUUAGGGAAGAACAAAUGUGUAAGUAACUAUGCACGUCUUGACGGUACCUAAUCAGAAAGCCACGGCUAACUACGUG